rnacentral:rRNA from 1 species
UACAGAGGUCCCAAGCGUUGUUCGGAUUCACUGGGCGUAAAGGGUGCGCAGGUGGCAUGGUAAGUUUGAUGUGAAAGCCCCGGGCUUAACCCGGGAAUGGCAUUGAAUACUACUGUGCUGGAGGAUCGGAGGGGGGACUGGAAUUCUUGGUGUAGCAGUGAAAUGCGUAGAUAUCAAGAGGAACACCAGUGGCGAAGGCGAGUCCCUGGACGAUACCUGACACUGAGGCACGAAAGCCAAGGGAGCAAACAGG